rnacentral:rRNA from 1 species
GACGAACGCUGGCGGCGUGCUUAACACAUGCAAGUCGAACGGAAAGGCCCUGCUUUUGUGGGGUGCUCGAGUGGCGAAAGGGUGAGUAACACGUGAGUAACCUGCCCUUGACUUUGGGAUAACUUCAGGAAACUGGGGCUAAUACCGGAUAGGAGCUCCUGCAGCAUGGUGGGGGGUGGAAAGUUUCGGCGGGUGGGGAUGGACUCGCGGCUUAUCAGCUUGUUGGUGGGGUAGUGGCUUACCAAGGCUUUGACGGGUAGCCGGCCUGAGAGGGUGACCGGCCACAUUGGGACUGAGAUACGGCCCAGACUCCUACGGGAGGCAGCAGUGGGGAAUAUUGCACAAUGGGCGGAAGCCUGAUGCAGCAACGCCGCGUGCGGGAUGACGGCCUUCGGGUUGUAAACCGCUUUCGCCUGUGACGAAGCGUGAGUGACGGUAAUGGGUAAAGAAGCACCGGCUAACUACGUG